rnacentral:rRNA from 1 species
UCAGGAUGAACGCUAGCUACAGGCUUAACACAUGCAAGUCGAGGGGCAGCAUUGGAGUAGCAAUACUUCAGAUGGCGACCGGCGCACGGGUGAGUAACACGUAUCCAACCUGCCGCUUACUCGGGGAUAGCCUUUCGAAAGAAAGAUUAAUACCCGAUGGUAUAAAGAGUUCGCAUGUUCUCUUUAUUAAAGAAUUUCGGUAAGCGAUGGGGAUGCGUUCCAUUAGAUAGUUGGCGGGGUAACGGCCCACCAAGUCUACGAUGGAUAGGGGUUCUGAGAGGAAGGUCCCCCACAUUGGAACUGAGACACGGUCCAAACUCCUACGGGAGGCAGCAGUGAGGAAUAUUGGUCAAUGGGCGGGAGCCUGAACCAGCCAAAGUCGCGUGAAGGAAGACUGCCCUAUGGGUUGUAAACUUCUUUUAUAAGGGAAUAAAGUGAGGGACGUGUCCCUUUUUGUAUGUACCUUAUGAAUAAGGAUCGGCUAACUCCGUGCCAGCAGCCGC